rnacentral:rRNA from 1 species
GUCUUUUUGAUUAUAAUUUAGGGUUUAAUCUGCUCAAUGAUUAAUUAAAUAGCCGCAGUAUUUUGACUGUGCAAAGGUAGCAUGAUAAUUAGUUUAUUAAUUGUGAACUUGUAUGAAUGAUUGGACGAGAAAAUUUCUGUCUCUUUUUAAUUUUUUUAUUUAAUUUUACUUUUAAGUUAAAAGGCUUAAAUUUAUAUAAAAGACGAGAAGACCCCAUAGAGUUUAAUUUUUAGUAAUAUUUAGAAUAAAUUAUUUAAUAAUAAAAAUUGGUUGGGGUGACUUAAAGAUUAAAUUAACUCUUUAAAUUAAUAUCAUAGAUUAAUGAAUUUUAAAUCCGAAAAUUUUCAAUUUUAAAUUAAGUUACCUUGGGGAUAACAGCGUAAUUUCUUUUAGAGUUCUUAUCGAAAGAGAAGAUUGCGACCUCGAUGUUGGAUUAAAGAAAAAUUAAGGUGCAGAAGUCCUAAUAUUUAAGUCUGUUCGACUUUUAAAACUUU